rnacentral:rRNA from 1 species
CGGACUGCAGGCUGCAACCCGCCUGCACGAAGUUGGAAUUGCUAGUAAUCGUGGAUCAGCAUGCCACGGUGAAUACGUUCCCGGGUCUUGUACACACCGCCCGUCACACCAUGGGAGUCGGUAAUACCCGAAGUCAGUAGUCCAACCUCGUGAGGACGCUGCCGAAGGUAGGAUUGGCGACUGGGGUGAAGUCGUAACAAGGUAGC